rnacentral:rRNA from 1 species
AUGAGGAGGAGCUAUGGCCACAUCCAACGUAUCAACGCUGAUGUCAUCGAGGGGCGUAAGGCGGCGCGAGCUGCCACACAGGACGGUGCCUCCAGCACUGACGAUGAUGACUUGCUGGACGUGCUACUCAGGCUGCAGGAGAAGGACGCGUUCACAUUCCCUAUGACCACGGAGAGUAUAGGUGCCGUCUUAUUUGACAUAUUUGCAGGUGCCACACAGACCACGGGAGUUGCCUUGGAGUGGGCAAUGGCUGAGCUCGUCCGUCAUCCCGAAGCCAUGGCCAAAGCACAGCUUGAGAUCCGAGAGGUGCUAGGUCAAGGCCGAGCUGUGAUUACUAAUAGUGACCUCGCUGAACUCCACUACAUGCGGAUGAUCAUUAAGGAGGUUCUUAGACUGCAUCCACCAGGUCCUUUGAUCCCCCAUAGGGUCAGGGAAGACUGUAAAGUUAUGGGUUUUGACAUGCUUGAAGGCACCAAUGUAUACAUUAACGCGUUUGCAGUUUCGAGGGAUCCAAAUUGUUGGGAAAGUCCUGAAGAGUUUAAGCCUGAAAGGUUUGAGAACAAUAACAUGGAUUACAAUGGGACAUACUUUGAAUUCACCCCCUUCGGUGCUGGUCGGAGGCAGUGCCCUGGGAUACUUUUCGGCACGUCAACUAUGGAGAUCGCCUUGGAAAAUCUUCUCUACCACUUCGACUGGGUGCUUCCUGGCAAGGCAAGCCCGGAAUUUUUGGACAUGACCGAGAAAUAUGGGAUCAUCGUAGGAAGAAAAUAUGACCUACAAUUGAUACCUAUUUCCCGUGGAGGUUUCCAUGCCACAUAG